UGUUUGGUGGCUGAGAUAUAAGCGGUAGACUGUAGAUCUAUUUACGGAAUUAAGUUUUCCCAACAA
rnacentral:tRNA from 1 species